rnacentral:rRNA from 1 species
AGAACGAACGCUGGCGGCAUGCCUAACACAUGCAAGUCGAACGAGACCUUCGGGUCUAGUGGCGCACGGGUGCGUAACGCGUGGGAAUCUGCCCUUGGGUACGGAAUAACAGUUAGAAAUGACUGCUAAUACCGUAUAAUGACUUCGGUCCAAAGAUUUAUCGCCCAGGGAUGAGCCCGCGUAGGAUUAGCUUGUUGGUGAGGUAAAGGCUCACCAAGGCGACGAUCCUUAGCUGGUCUGAGAGGAUGAUCAGCCACACUGGGACUGAGACACGGCCCAGACUCCUACGGGAGGCAGCAGUGGGGAAUAUUGGACAAUGGGCGAAAGCCUGAUCCAGCAAUGCCGCGUGAGUGAUGAAGGCCUUAGGUUGUAAAGCUCUUUUACCCAGGAUGAUAAUGACAGUACCGGAGAAUAAGCUCCGGCUAACUCCGUGCCAGUACGCCGC